GACGAACGCUGGCGGCGUGCCUAAUACAUGCAAGUCGAGCGGAUCUUGUUAAGGAGCUUGCUUCUUAACUUGGUCAGCGGCGGACGGGUGAGUAACACGUAGGCAACCUGCCCCUUAGAUCGGGAUAACAUUCGGAAACGGAUGCUAACACCGGAUACACAAUUUGACCGCAUGGUUGGAUUGGGAAACGCGGAGCAAUCUGCGGCUUGGGGAUGGGCCUGCGGCGCAUUAGCUAGUUGGUGGGGUAAUGGCUCACCAAGGCGACGAUGCGUAGCCGACCUGAGAGGGUGAACGGCCACACUGGGACUGAGACACGGCCCAGACUCCUACGGGAGGCAGCAGUAGGGAAUCUUCCACAAUGGGCGCAAGCCUGAUGGAGCAACGCCGCGUGAGUGAGGAAGGCUUUCGGGUCGUAAAGCUCUGUUGCCAGGGAAGAAUAAGGACGUGUUAACUGCACGUUCGCGACGGUACCUGAGAAGAAAGACCCCGGCUAACUACGU
rnacentral:rRNA from 1 species